rnacentral:lncRNA from 1 species
AACUGUGCUAAGGCCUUGAUUUUCUUGCGCCAUCACCUUGAUGAAGGUUUGAAAAUUGAAUAUAUCACAGUCAAAGAUCCACAUAUCUUGUGGAAUGGUUUUCUUGUUAUAUGUGCGCUACAAGGUAGGUAUUGUUUAUUAAUAUAAAUUUCACAUGUUGUUACACUAUUAUAACUAUAUAUGUUUCAUUCUAUAACGCUUGUGGUAUAAAAUUGUGAA